UUUUUUUUUUUUUUUUGGAUUUUGAGAGGUUUUAGGCUUGGUUCUUUGACAAUACUCAUUUUAUAUUCAAGAAAUUUGAAAACGAUUUUCUAAUUCUAAGUUUUGAGAAAGGUUUUGUCUGAAGUUACUUUGAAAUUCUUGGUUUGCUGCUCGGGUCGAAGUUGUGCGAGAAGUCGCUCUCUUUCAAGUUCGUGUCGUCCAGUCACUGCUCCGAAAGAGGUGAUAUUUUGUUUCUUUUGUUUUGUUCUUUGUCUAAUAUGAUGCUUUGGUUCAUAUAUGGUAUUAAUAUUAUAGUUUGUUCAGUUUUUUUUUGUUUUUUUAUUUCAUCUUAAAUUGAAUCAGUUUGCAUUGUAUUUUUGGAAUUACUAGUUGACUUUGAAUUAUAAAAUCAACGUUGCCAAUUUAAUUUGUCUUUGUUAGUUUAAGUAGUGACUAAAUCGAGAAGCUCUUAUUUUUUGGCCCUAUGCUUGUCCUACUAUUCUUGAAAAGGAAGUAUUGAAUAUUAGCCUAACCUCAUGUAUUUGAUCUCUGCUCCCGACUUUGGACUACAAUAUUUCCCUUUGAGUUUGGAGCCUUUACAUUAAAUUUCUCUACUCAUCAUAUAUCCGGUUUAAGUCCUUAAUUUGUUGAAUGAAUAAUCGAAUACCAAUUAAAAUCUUUUGUCGAUUUAGCAUGAGUCCUGCAAAUGACUAAAAUUACAUAAGGUGCUCAUCCCCUUCUUAUUUUGUUUCUUACGUUGUCCUCUUGCUUAAAUGGGGUAAAAUAUAUAUUUUCCAUAAUGCUCAUUAUUAUUAUCUUGGAAUCAUCGGGAUGGAAGCUAUGAUUUUUAGGUUAGAAUAAUACAUUCCAAUAUAUCUCGAUAGCGUGAACACAGCCACAACUAUAAUUCCUUUUCUUCCUUGAUAGUUUAGGAUCUAUAAUACAUUGUUUUCUUGUAAUAUAUCAAUUGUGGCCUAUAAAUUUUGUAUUGUGUCUUCUAAUGGCUUUUCUGGGCAUUUAAGAGGACCAAAUAUGUUCCAUAUUACUUAGGAGGGGGCUGCCAGCCUUUAUUUUUCUCCAUAUGUUUAAUAUAUGGCUUUCUAUAGUUUGUCAUUUUAGUGUUUGAGUAGAUAUAGUCUUAUCAUCUUCAUCUUUAAUGCUUUGACGUUCUCUACUUAAGUUCUCAUGUAGACAUAUAUGCGAUAAAAUGGAGUGUUUAUUGAAUUAGCUCGACCUCUCUGUUUUAGUGUGAUGUCGUUUAAAGGUCUCAAAUUGUAAACUUAUUAUUUGUUUGUUUCAUUCACUUUGAUUUAAGUAUAAGUUUGGUCCCUGCUCAUUUAGGUUGUUACUCGUUAGUUCUUUAUGAUCAUCAAGCUUGUAAUGUUGUUGGAAUUUGUAAAUUAGGAUGUUUUCUAUCCCACCUAUAAUAAUGUGUGCUAUAGAUAAUUAAGGUUUUGUUGGUUAUUUUCACAAACACACAAGAUUCUGAUGCCUCUGUUCUGGUCGAUGUCAUCCUUACAUUUAGCGAUGUUUACUGACUUGUUUGAUGCCAGAUAAUCGAUCUUGUCCCUUACUUGAGUUUUAUUGCCUUCAAUUAAAGUAUUUCAGAGUCUGAAUUUGUUUUAAGUUUCAGACAAUUUGAUAAGAUUUGGUAAUGAAUAACUUCUCACUCCUUUCCCUUCCCAUUUAUCGUGUGAAUAUUGACAUUUUAAUUUAAAGGUAAUAUAGUUGUUGUAUCUGUGACUUUUUUAUUUUAUUUUAUUUUUUUCUUACUUUCAAUGAAAUGAUCGUAGCUACUACCAUCUAACUAACUCUUAUCUUUCAUAUGAAAAGGUGAGAAGUUUAUAUGUGAUAAUGUUCUCUUCUUCUACGUCUCACUUUAUGCCAUUUCUUUUAGAAAUUGAUGUCCAUUUAGUUGAAUAUUCCUUUCAGAUUAGUAUCCAAUUUGUUGAAAGUGUUAAUUUAAUCAUGUCAAGGAUAGGUGGUAUUAAAAUGAUUUUUAAGAAGUCUAGUGCCUUUUAUUCCUCUUUCAUUUGUUUUUAUUUUUUUUAAAUAAAUUAUCUUACCUCUCGUUGUGGAGAUUCCAAAUGUGGACUUGCAUAUAUUUAUUAGCUUAGGUGCUUUAUCAUGAUUUGGAUUAAUUCUUAUAUGUGUGUUUUAUGAUGCAUGUGAAAAUCGAUGGGUCCAAUAUGGACUCCAUUCCUGCAUAUCUUCGAGUUGGUUCAUUUCUGAGUCAACUCCAUCAUGAUUCAAGUGAAGUGGAAGCGAAUAUACGGGUCUUGAAAGUUGAAACACGGGUUCAAACAACAUCCCACUUUUGGACCACAGUGAAUUUAGGCCAAAAGGACCUAAAUUCAAUCUCUCCCUUACUCUUUAAUUAUUUAAUUGUAAUUACUUAUUGUUUGUUGUUUAAUUCUAACUUUAAAAUUAUUAAUUAACUUAAUUAGAUUCCCCAAAAGAUGAGUUAUUUUCUUUGUGUCGGU
rnacentral:lncRNA from 1 species